CAGCCGCCGCGGUAAUACGAAGGGUGCAAGUGUUAAUCGGAAUUACUGGGCGUAAAGCGUGCGUAGGCGGUGAGUUAAGUCUGCUGUGAAAUCCCGGGGCUCAACCCCGGAACUGCAUCCGAUACUGCCGUGCUAGAGGAUUGGAGAGGUAGCUGGAAUUCUUGGUGUAGCAGUGAAAUGCGUGGAGAUCAAGAGGAACACUCGUGGCGAAAGCGAGCUACUGGACAAUAUCUGACGCUGAGGCUCGAAGGCCAGGGUAGCGAAAGGGAUUAGAUACCCCUGUAGUCCCUGUCUCUUAUAC
rnacentral:rRNA from 1 species